GUUUUGCUUAUGUAUGUCUGAUUGUUCCUUUUCCUUUGCUCUGUCCUAUUUUCUGUGUGUUUUCCUGCAAUUAUAAAGGGUAUAUUCCAAAAAACUAAAUCAAUUUUACAGGGUUACAGUUAUGAACGUUGUGCCUUAACGUGUGGGAAGAAGAAUGCAGCGAAGAAGAAGCAGCUCUUCUGUUUAUCGCCACCUGGGAGCCCCUGGGUUCUUAUGAUUUAUCUUGUGGCAAAAACAGU